AACGAACGCUGGCGGCAUGCCUAACACAUGCAAGUCGAACGAGACCUUCGGGUCUAGUGGCGCACGGGUGCGUAACGCGUGGGAACCUGCCCUUAGGUUCGGAAUAACUCCCCGAAAGGGGUGCUAAUACCGGAUAAUGUCUUCGGACCAAAGAUUUAUCGCCUUUGGAUGGGCCCGCGUUGGAUUAGCUAGUUGGUAGGGUAAAAGCCUACCAAGGCGACGAUCCAUGGCUGGUCUGAGAGGAUGAUCAGCCACACUGGGACUGAGACACGGCCCAGACUCCUACGGGAGGCAGCAGUGGGGAAUAUUGGACAAUGGGCGAAAGCCUGAUCCAGCAAUGCCGCGUGAGUGAUGAAGGCCUUAGGGUUGUAAAGCUCUUUUACCCGGGAUGAUAAUGACAGUACCGGGAGUAUAAGCUCCGGCUAACUCCGUG
rnacentral:rRNA from 1 species